GAGAGAGAGAGAGAGAGAGAGAAAAGGUUGGACCAUAGAUGUGGGAGGCAGUUGUUUCAUGGAAUCACUCUUCACCUGGCUUGAUUUUUUUAAGAUAAGAUUGGAGUACCAUGAGAGCAACUGUGAAGUUUUUGUGAGUACGUCGACAUUUUGGGGUGAUAGAGGAAGAUAAAACACAGCGGAGCAGAAAAAUGGCACGGCUAUCCGGAUCUCGAGGGCAACAACCGCCCCAGCCGAUGGAGACGUCGCAGCGGCAACACGUCAUCUCACGUGGGGUGAUGGUGAGGACAAAGCCAGAAAAUCCCAGAUGAAGGCAUACCGGUUUGAUUCUUCAGCACUGGAAAGAGCCGCUCAGGCAGCAAGCGAACUCAAAAACUCCCAGACAAGUCAUUAGAUUCAGCGAAUCACGGUGACUACUGCAUACUAUCAGCCGAUUGGCUAUGACCAACAGAAUUAAAUCGCCAAGAGCAGCAUGCAGUAAAAGAGCCAUUGACACUGGCACGCAAAAGAGGCCCUCGAGCUGUCGAAGCUGUAGGAAAUGACGUGGCAGCGAGAGUAUGCCUCGAAACUGAAGGAGUCCGAGGCACACAUUGAGAGAUGGUGGAGCAGCAGCUCGUGGUGACAGAGGAGCGGCACAAGACGCUGCAACAGGAGACGAAGCACCACCGUGUGCGCACGCAGCACUAGGACCAGCUGGCAUGCAAGAGGUGUUUGUGUAGGUCAUCCAGCAGUUACAGCAGAUGCGUUGCGGAGAAUUCACACGAGGCGGCAAAGAGUCUGCAUCUGCUCUCUGUCGGUGGCAUUCGGCACUACGUGGGCCGACUGCUCGCCAGCUCUGUCAGCUGCUGCCCUCUCACGGCACUCCCACACACUUUGUGCAGCCGCCCGAGUGCAGAGUCCCACCGUUAAGGCGCCAUCACUCUUCCAGAUGCUCGGUCCACCACGGCAGGAAGCAAUAGACGGACUGCUGUGACGGCGUCUUGAAACAAAAACUGCGAGAUUCGUAACACUGCUCCACCAGCCGCACAGUUCGUCAGAGGCGUAGCUCCGCAGACUGCCAUCUGGGGAAGUGAGGGCACUGUCGGCAGUGGCGCCUGUCCGGCCAGUCGCUGCGUGGCGCCCCCUGCAGGCACUCUGCCGAUGCGGCGCCGGGCCACGGGAAAUGUGGAAAGCAGGAAGAACUUACUGUGGUGUCCCGUGAUGUGAGAAUGAAAGUGCAUAUUCCCCCGAGAGAGGGUAGUAUGUAUUGUAACGGCAGCACGGCAGGUGUGUGGGAAAGGAAUGAUUUUAGGCGGUUCUUCAAUUCUCUCUAUUUAAAUAUAAACUGGUAAGACGACAGCAGAUGACGGGAGCACUGUGUGAUGCAAGUACUGCUACCGAUGUGAGAUUUGUGUACUGCAGACACGAGUAAAUUCAGUGAGAGAUCACAACUGAAGAUACAUUCUAACUGUAAGGCUUGUACGGCAGUAAUUUGAGUAUUGUGCAGGUUACAUUAGUGUAACAUAGCAUCAUACACUUUGAUAGGAAAUUGUUUCCAGUAAUUAGGUAAUGUAGGGGACUGUAUCAAACAACUACUGUUAAUGUAGCUGGGUUAGACAACCAUUGAUAUUGCACCUGACUUCAGGGUGAGUGUGUAUAGUGACCAUCACCACGCUCUUGUAGCCCAGUAUUAAUUUUGAAGUAAGUUAAUAAUUUACACGGCUGGUCACAUUUUCACAGCACUUGGCACAAUGAGUUAGACACUGUAGGGAGAGGUAGCAACAGUAGAACGUGUAUAAACAGUUUUCAUAAUACUCAUCUUUCCUUUUUCUUCUUUGUUGUAAGGCUUGUAGUACAUUCUGAAAUGCAACUUUGUAUACUGGUCUAGAAGGUACUCAGCUUCACUUUUUUUAAAAAAUAAUAAUACAAACUUUGGAGGACUUUAUGUUGUCGAAUACAUAUAUUUUCAGUUAUUUCGCGUGCCGAGCUUUCACGUGCGUGCCGAUCGCUCCCUUCUGACGUCACACGUCCCCCACUACCACACCAGCUGACUGCACGCACUUGCGCGGAACUACGAACGCGCCGCAUGCGACAGUGCAUUCGCGUAAGGAACUGUCUUGUCCCACUGACGUGUCCUGAGAGGGAGUGGAAGGACUGCGUUGGUGCGCGUCAGAGAACUUACUUGGCAUGAGGUCUCGGUGGUGUGGGCCGCCAACUCUUCUCUGCUCCGUUGUAGAGAAGGCUGCAAGGUGAGCUAGAGUACGGAACUCGGAUAGGAUCUUAGGGAAGCUUUCAUGUAUGAACACUCGAUGUAUAGAACGAUUAUCCUGGAAGUACCCCUGGCACUUGUGAUUUAAAUAAGAUUCUAUAUACAGUCUCUAAUGAUUGUCAAUCUGGCUAUGCAGUUGCUAUUCCUAACUUCCCGAACCUAAGUCCUAAUACAGCAGAGGCGAGCACACCAGACUAAGUGUCGGCUGUGUCGAUUCAGCCUAAGUCCCUACUUGUUGCUGUGCUCAAUACUCUCCUGCAACUCUUGCAGCAUCCCGAUGCAGACUAACGUGGACCGGCGUCCUAAGUACCUCACUCCAUCACUGUCCUUCGAUCUAGCGGCUAUCCGCUUUUAUAGGGGUAGUGCACCCGGCACCACUUGUUCUAGAAGGUUCUAGCACCCCCGAACUUUGAGCCCUGAGUAGGCUAGUCACGCGGCAGCAUGUGAUGCCUACGUGAUGAACUAGCCAUUCUCCACUGUUUGCUGUGUCCAAGGGUUGCCACUAACUGUGCUUGAGCCUCGUGAUACUGCAUACUCCGCUCUUGUUAGUCGAGUACACAUUACACAUGAGAUAGUCUGGUCACGUCCGCCUCGCUUGAUCUGUAGCAAUAAUUUUCCAGCCUACAGCCUACAUGAUUUUAAUUCUAUCUUCUACUAUUCGCGACACCUCCCCUUCCCCAGGGGAAAAUUUUGUAAGCUCGGUCCCUUGAGAUUACAAAAUUUUCGCUUUCUACUCGCGGUGCCAGUAAAACUUACCAGUCUUUAUUGCCAUCAAGACUUGACAUUAUAAACA